rnacentral:lncRNA from 1 species
UGUCUAGGACUCUUUUGAUUUAUCAAAUUAUUUAUGAUAUACUAGCUGAUAUACCCGGCUUUGCACGGGGAAAAAAUGGAAGAAAUGUUAAUGAAAAAAAUGCAAAAAUGUGUCACUCUGAUUCUUUGUUUUUCAAGUCUGGCCUGUCUCUGUAUGGGAGUCUCAUUCUUUCUUGAUGUACUCGCUCUGAUUCUGUGUGUUUCAAGUCUGGCCUGUGUCUGUUGGGGAGUCUCAUCUAUUAUUCUUCGUUUUCUUUUUGCUUCUGAAGAUAAUCUACCUAUCAAUGGUCUUUUUUUUGGUGGCAUUAUGAAAUUUCGAAACGGAAAUUUAAGAAAGAACGACGGUUAGGAAAGAACAAAUAACGACAAACAGCCCCGCCUACCAAAAAUUAAAAAAAGUUUUUUAAAGUCAUAAAUUGUAGCAGAAAGUUUUUUAAAGUCAGAAAUUGUAGCAUAAAGUUUUAGUCAUAAAUAAAAUUUAAAUAAUUAAAAAUUUUAACAGCUAAUCGCCAGCGUGGGUUUCAUUAGUGCACCGCGUCAGAUUCGGAGGAAAAGUUAUCGAAAAUCGUAAAUAGCAAAGUUUUAAUUAAGAAAGCACGAUUUUAAUAUCAAGCCGAUGAUUUAAUAUAUAAAUUUAAUAUACAAAGAUGAAUGUCAAAGAAUCGAGGAAAAUAUUUAAACAAAAAGGUUUAAAUAAAUUUGGCUACAAUUCUCAGAACUGGCAAAGCGUUUACGGUUUUCUGUCUAGAGAGGGCGCAACCAUAGCCACUGGAUCGCCAAUUUCAAGCUUAAUUUGAACGAUUUUUUAAAUACUAUUAAGCCGAUCUUCUUGAAUUAUAGCGGAAAACCAUCUACUCAGCAAGAUUAUCCAAC